GCAACCCGCCCGGGUCCUCUUCCAUGCUGUGGAAGCGUUGUUCUUUCGCUCUUUGCAAUAAAUCUUGCUACUGCUCACUCUUUGGGUCCACACUGCUUUUAUGAGCUGUAACACUCACCGCGAAGAUCUGCAGCUUCACUCCUGAGCCCAGCGAGACCACGAGCCCACUGGGAGGAACGAACAACUCCAGACGCGCUGCCUUAAGAGCUGUAACACUCACCGCGAAGGUCUGCAGCUUCACUCCUGAGCCAGCGAGAUCACGAACCCACCAGAAGGAAGAAACUCCGAAAACAUCUGAACAUCAGAAGGGACAGAUUCCAGACGCGCCACCUUAAGAGCUGUAACGCUCACCGCCAGGGUCCGCGGCUUCAUUCUUGAAGUCAGUGAGACCAAGAACCCACCAAUUCCGGACACAAUGUGAAGAGCAUUUAAAAUAGUGCCUAAGCCUAGGACACCGCCAGUGCUUUGUGUUUUCACAGUCCUGUGUUUGGUAUGGAGAGUGUGGAAUUGCAUAUGGGGACAAGAGGUACAAUUGCGAAUAUUCUGGCCCACCAAAACCAUUGCCAAAGGAUGGAUAUGACUUAGUGCAG
rnacentral:lncRNA from 10 species